UACGGAGGGUGCAAGCGUUAUCCGGAUUCACUGGGUUUAAAGGGUGCGUAGGCGGACAGGUAAGUCAGUGGUGAAAUCUCCGAGCUUAACUCGGAAACUGCCUUUGAUACUCUCUGUCUUGAAUAUGGUGGAGGUAAGCGGAAUAUGCCAUGUAGCGGUGAAAUGCUUAGAGAUGACAUAGAACACCUAUUGCGAAGGCAGCUUACUACGCCUAUAUUGACGCUGAGGCACGAAAGCGUGGGGAUCAAACAGG
rnacentral:rRNA from 1 species